CCAUAAACGCCCUCCAAUUUAUUCGCCAGACAAACUCGGGGCCGUAAAGGAAUAAAUCGGCGCAGUUAAAAGGAAAAUCACAGAGAACCAACCGCAGGGGGAAAUAGAGAGAGAGAGACGCAGCGUGCCCCCCACCCCCCAUACAGUCGCUUAUGAUGGUGGUGGUGAUAGUGGGGGGGGGGGGUUCCUUUGCCUAAACAAACUCGGCAGCUUGUAAAUGUAUCCGUGUGCCCGUGUGAGUACAGCCGAGAUGAGAGCACGGGCGUAAAGGAUGCACCCACGGACGCACGCGCGCGCGCGUUGAACGAGAGAGAGAGAAAGUGGCGGGGUGGGUGUGGGUGGUGAACGCGCGUUCUGAGUGAGAUGCGAGCGGCUUGCCCACCACGAGGGCCCCGCGUGUCUCCAUCCUCCUCCUCCUCCCUGAGCGCCCGAUCGUGUGUGGGAGUCACUGUUUGAGGGCGGUGGGGUGCCGUGUACUCUUGAUUGCACGACGCUUUCGGACAGUGAGACGCACCUGCAAGCCUCUCUCCCCGGUGUCUGUUAAAGUGCUCGCAGGUCUGGUCACGCGCAUGCGGCUGCUACCGGAUUAUAAGAUGCACCUCCCGUGCCCCCCCCCCCCCCCCGCUCCGCAACUAUUGCUUUAAAAUAAAGUGCGUCUUAAAAUCCGGUGAAUGCGGCGAUGAUGAUAAUGACGAAGAGCCAUUUUUAUUAAUCUACUGCUUGAUGAAUCGUCCCGCCCGUCCCCGCCACACACGCGAAGGGUUGUUUGACCAUACUUCACCACGCUGGUCCGUGCGGGGUUUGGUCAGUGAAGUUUUCUGAGCACUCUUUUGGACACCGCUGAUGUAAUUGGAUACCGUGGCCGGGAAUUGAACUCAGGUGGGACGGGUAUGGAGCGUAAGCUCGUGGGAUCCUGCGUCAACGCUCUCCCGAAAUUUCAAAUAUUUACACGCAGUCUGUAAAUGCAAAUACAUGUAUAUACACACGUACAAAAAAUACAAAGACCCCCCGAGUAGCCUUAACAGACUGUUGGGGCAAGUGCUGUUAGCACCUAUGAAAGACGGAAAAGCACACGACAGGGUGGGUGGCCAGCACCACGCCCGACCGCCUUUGUAGCAAUGUAUACACACCACACCAGGUACUCAUUUGAGGCUGAGUCGUCCUAGAGGAGGCCCCUGACCGGUUCAGAUAAUCGUCACUGGGUGUUGGCCGUGAGCGGGAAUGGAACCCGGGUCGCCGGGUUCGUAGCGCAGAGCGCUACCUGGUACACUACCUCUCACUACGAAAACAUACACUGUAUAUACACACACACGCACGCGCGCGCGCAUAUAUAUACUUACAAUAAUACAUACAAGCAGAUGCGCGUACACAUCCAAGAUAGACAAAGAUCCCCCGUGUAGCCUGAAUAGGCUGUUGGGACAAGGGUUGUCAGCGAGCACCUAUAAAGGUCGACAUGGAGCACAAGCGGGAUAGGUGUGACCAUAAUCACGACCCGGCCGCCUUUGUCCCCCAAGUGCCGAUGUUUACGCACACCCCCACCAGCUACUAAUUUAAGGUCGAGUCGACCUAAGGGAGGCCCAGGGCCGCUUUAGAUAUUCGCCGCUGAUGUUGGCCGUUAGCGGGGAUCGAACUCGUGGUGUCGGAUUCGUCGCAAGAUAUAUUCACACAGACACGAAUGUGCAUCAAUGUACAGUAUAUAUACACUUACAAAUAUAAAUACAUACACACACGUUUGCGUAAGCCCGUUAAACAUAAACUCACACACACACGUGCGCACGGAGUUAAUGUUGUGUUCCAUGUGCACACUGAUCAGAAUGGUGAAGUAUGGUCUAGCAACCUCCAUGACCAACUCGGCGUGAGAAGGCCGUCAUCCAGCAGUGGAGUUGAAAGUUACGUAAUCUGAUUCGAUGUGUUUGUCUAUGCCACUGAUAACCUCGUGUCUGCCCAGUCACCAUUCGCUGCGUUUUUACGGCAUUGCGAAUGAAAUCGUCACAUAAAAACAAAUUGCGUGUAAUAAGUUAAUGUUUUUUAUAUAUAUAGAUGAAAAUGCAAAGCUUCAUUCAAAAGCUGGGUUUUGCCCCCACCCGGCACACCACAUCCAGUAUACACAUCGCCUGAGUCACAUGCCACCAACUCCACUCUACUGGGGACUCGCAAAUGAUUGAACGGAAAUAAAUCCCGUAAAACAAAAACAAACACACGUACGAAAACGCAAUCUUACAAUACAUCGCACGGUGUAGAAUAAUAAUAAUAACGAUCACGCUUUCAUUAAAUAAUCAAUCUACUGCUGGAUGAACGCCUGUCCACGCGGUUUGGAGGCUGAAGCGAUAUAUUUCAACCAAGCACGGGGUUCGGAUAGCACUGUCAGGGAAUCUAGCUCAUGCACAGCGCAAUGCGCUAACCGCAGCGCCACCGCUCCCUCCCGAUUAAACAAUAACAGCAGCAGCAGCAUUAAAACAUUACACGCGUGGCAAGUGUACUGAACCGUGCAUGGUCGGGAGAAGUUAAUGCACAGGUAUAUAUACUCCCUGCGGCGAUGGCGUUUAGCCGCUAAUGAAUGUUAUUGGUGUGUGCGCCUGCUGUGGUGGUGGUGGUUGGUUGUGGUUGGUGGUGGUGGUUGGUUGUGGUUGGUGGUGGCGGCGUUGCCAAGCUUUCUAAUCUAAUCGCGCAAACAUUUUUUUUUUUUGCCAAACAAAGUGGUCGUCCGGGGUCUGUCCGUGAGCGUCCUUGACGUUUUGAUCUGCCGAUGCCUAGUUGUCACUGGCAGUCUGGAGGGUUGACCCCCGAGACCGGCCCCGUCUCUUCUGACCCCCCCUGCUCACUCACGCCCCCCCCCUCCGCUAAAUCCCUAACCUCUCUCUAACCCUAUCUCUCUGCCGCACUCCGCGAAGUUGACACUGAGUGGACACUGACCAAGCAGCCACCCCCUCCCCCCCCCCCGUUCCCGAGCGGCGGAAUAACCCAUUAAAGUAUUGGAGCUGUGUUUAUUUAUUAUUAUUAUAUACAGAAAGCGUCUCUCUGAGAUGGCUUCGGGAUUGUGCCCGCGUACGGCGUCCCACGUUGCCGCAUAGCAUUGCUAGGAGAUUCUUCUUCUAAUUCAUCAUCGUCUUCUUCUUCUUCUAAUUCUACUUCGGGAACUGAAUAUGGGUGCGUGGAGCGAACCGUCGGACAACGUGCCUCGCAACACGCGCUGCAAACCGAACACACAUCGAGAAGCUUACACAGCGGCAGGGAAACUCUUCGCUGUCAUUACGCAGUGUAUAGACCUCUCUGUACACACACGGUAUAUGCAACGGCAAGGAUCGCCCGUGUCAAGCCUUCAGUGAGUUUUGGGGCAAGCGCUUCGCGAGAAUCUACGAAGGUCUGAACGACAGACGAGAGGGUGGGCGGCCAGCACCACGCCAGAUCCACAUUUGUGUUUACACACUCAGCCUUGCUAUGUUUACACACACCGCCACAUCAGCUACUCGCGUGGGGCUGAGUCGAUCUAGGGGGAAGCCCAGCACCGGUUCAGGUAAUCGUCACCGGUGUUGGCCGUGAGCGGGCAUUUAACCCAGGUAGCCGGGUUUGCAGUGCAGCGCGUUAACCACUACGCUGCCGCUCUCCAUAUAUACUAUGCUGCGCGCACACACACGCACACGUGGGUAGCAGUGGUGCAGUGGUUAGCGUGCUGCGCGGUGGAAUCUGUAACCUAAGUUGGAUAGCUGGCCAUGGCGAGCUCACUAUCAGUGGCCAGUAAAGCUGCGUGGUGGGAAGGACAGCGCAGUACAGCAACAUCAGACUAAUAUUCUUAGGUUUUUUUCGGUAAAGUCACGUGGGUAAAAAUUUUAAAUUAAUAAAAGUAAAAUAAAACAAAAUAAAAAAUCACGACGUUUCAUGAAGCAACACAAGCCUCCGUCUUCAAGUGGAACCGUCACAGCCACGACAGCUGUAUCAAGUAAAUGAGAGAUCACAAGAAAUACCACCCCGUAUAUAUAAUGGUUGAGGGGGGAAGGGCCAGGAACGGCACACUUUUUAUUAAUAUGGUAAGGCUUCAGACUAAUGUUAAAAAGAAUCGAUUAAUCGAGUUUCCUGGCUGGCUGCUGUCUGGACACCUCUUCACCCCCAACGACGUCUCUCUGUUGUUUGUGUCUGCUGCUGGCCAUGGCCACCGAAACUAGCUGGGUAACUGUCUAAACGAGAUUUUCUUUGUAACAAAUAAACGUUGGACCCGAUUGAAACAUGGGCAGAAGACGUUCAGAAGAAGUUUAAUAAUCAUAAUAAUGAUUUGAGAUUUUUAGUUUAUUUUGGUGCUCUGAAUGUCCAAAUGAUGGGUCACUUUGUUGAGCUAUCAUUUGGCAGGUCGCUUCUGAAAGAUAAGUUACUACCUCGGUGGUAGGAUGGGGAUGGUUUAGUGUUGUGUUUGUUUGUGUUUGGGUGAUUUGUUUACCUUUCUUGUACUUUUCACUCCUGUUGUGUUUUUGUCCUGUUUGUUGUUGUGACGUUCUUACCCCGUGCCCUGCCUGGACAUCUGUAAAAAAGAGCUUCAUAGCUCAUCGGAUUCCUCCUGCAGUACAAAUACAUAUUCGGAUUCUGAGAUAGUAACACCGGGGGUAACGAAAACACGGAAGACUGACCACGGUUCGUUUCAAAUUUGCUCUAACUUUUCAACGUAUGCUAUUGUUUAUACAUUUUCACGAGAAUAUUCUUGAAAUCCUACAGGACAUAACAAAAAAAAACAUUUCACAAUACGUAUUAUCUUAGCAUGUUAUUACUUUUAAUUUCUCUGAAUUGUCUUACAUAUUCCGUUGCAGAACGACGAGUUCUCUGUCUGGAUAUUUUUUGUUCAUGAAAAUAUUUCAGGUGGAUAAUGCCUCGAGAUGGAACAUCUCGUUUCCCGACCCUCCGAUGAACACGGUUGGCCAAUGUACGGUGCGAAAGAAGCUCAACAUACAUAGUCACACCGGAGUGUCCUGGAUACGCAUUGUGUACCAUAACAUCAAUGCUACAAACCCCGAGUAUCCAGUAUGGUCAAGAAACCUCCCUCCCUUCUCCGCACAGUGUGUGGGGGAGAGAGGGCUUCAUCCAGCAGUGGAUUGUGCUUUACACUGCCCUUUCACCAUGUACACAUGCACACUGCGUGUGUACACGUUCAUUGUGUUACCACGGCUAUAGCUAACAUCAGCUGCAUUUUUAAAAAAUCCUGGGCUUCUUCUAGAUCGACUCAGCCUGAAGUGAGUACCGUGUGCAGUGUGUACUGUUGAAACGAUUGACUCGUUUACUGAUUCGAGCCACUCCAUCUUCUCGUGCGCCCUGCCGACCUUAAUAGCUAGUCCACUCGCUAACCAGCCUCUCGAAAACGGCAUUUGUACCGCGUAAUAUUCGUGACCAUUUUUUUUACAGCGGCACAUUCUUCGUAGCGGAGACGGACUCGUGCCUCGAAACGUCGAGUUAUUACGAGGGUGCUCCUCCAUAGGCGGUGCUAGUGAUGAGAGAGUUGCGUUUGAGUGUCAGUGCUGCGUCCGCUGCCCAACGCAGUUGAUGGGUUCUGCCGUGCGCGACAUGGGGUCGAGUUUGGCGAACGCGUGAGAAAACACGCGUUUAGAGUAUCUUGGCCUGCUAUGAAUGUCCAAAUUAUGAUGAAACCACUUCGCUGAGCAAUCAUUGGCCACGGGCAGGUGGCUGUGUAACUCGGCGGAGAAUUACGUGGUAAAAAAUAAAAUACAAAAAUAGUGAUGGUGUGGUUUUGUGUGUGUGUUUGUGUGUGUUGAUGGCAAGUUAACUGCUCAUGCCAUCGGCGAGAACGCGAGCCACGUGACCGUUUCUCGCGCGCGUGACAUCAAGGAGGCGCGCAUUGCCUCCGUCAUUAUCGCAGCGUUGAGAUUGGGACUUCAAAGUAAAUUAGUUUUUUGCGCGAGUUUUUAUUUUUAUAAUUUAAAUAAUAAUCUAUCCAUCUUUCACUUCACCCCCCCCCCCCCGACACCCCCCUUAGCUUGGAAGCCUUCUUUACGGUUCGCGCGCUCGUGUAAAAAAUAAAAAUCCCGUGUAAAUUAAAGACAAAGAUCCUCGUAUAGCCUUUACAGACUGUUGGGGCAAGUGCUGUUAGCGAAUUAGCACUUGAGAAUGCCUGGACGGCACGGGAGGGGGUGGGUGACCAGCACCACGCCCGGUGGUAGUGUAGCAAUGAGCGCGCCCGAUCAACCGAGUUCGAUUCCCGUUCACGGCAUCCUCUAGGUCGACUCAGCCUCACAUGAGUACCUCGUGCGAUAUAUCGUCACUAGGGAGACAAAGGCGGCCGGACAAAUUACACAACAUUUUAUAGACGACAGAGGAUGGCGGUAUCAUGAUCAUCGAUUAUCUAUCCACUGUUGGUUGAAGGCCUUCCAAAGUCGUUAUACCAUGUCGGGUCCACACCUGAGCGAUCGGUUGCAUGCAACUCAAUCGCUUUUACGUGCACUUCUCUGCAACGAGUUGCGCGCAGUUGCGCCAGCAAUGAGACUUUCGUUUCAUGCAUCGAUCCGCUCAGCGAUUUGCACCGACGACGCAUUUCAUCAUCGCCAGGUGCUGCACAUUUGCCAACUAUCGAUUGGUAGCAGGUGACACUUUAAGUUGCGCGAUUUCGAAGAGGGAUUUAGUUGCCCGGCUGAUCGCUGGGGUGUCUACCUGGCUCCGUAGUCCACCCGGCACUUCCACCUGUGCACAAUCGGUGGUCACGAAUUCACUGCCGCUCGCUCCGCUGUUUCUAUUGCUGCCGUGGGCAGCAACCUCGGCUCCUUCCCCCCCACACCACCACUCACUCACCGUUCCCCCUACCCCCUUAACCCCUCCCCUCGACUCCCCGUGUCCCCCCUUAGACCCCCUCCCCCCCCCCGGAGCGCAAAGGUCAAGCGGUCGUGGGAUCAGGUCAGGGCGCAUGAAGGCUGCGGCUCCCCCCGCGCGGCACGGAUCGUGCUCGCUCGCGAUGGUUGUCAGAGCUCGAUGAAGGCCUCCCCGUGCCGUGUCGGCCAUGGGUAUUGGUUUUGACCAUACUUCACCACGCUGGGCACGAAGAAGCCCUCAGCAAGCGGAAAGAAGCAUCGGACAUCACCGCCAUGUGCCUGGCAGCUUCUUCGGGAAGUGAAGAAAUGAAGGAGCUCCCGACACGCGGAGCGAAAACGUCGGACAACCCGCAAACAAUCGUAGAGAGCUCUGAAGCGGAACCGCGAGAGCCUACGCGAUGGUAUGCACGUAGUUUUUCUCCAGAGCGGAAGAAAGGUGUGGGACCAAACCACCUUGUGUCACCGGGCAAAUAUGAUCCCAUCUCACGUUUGGACGGAGCGGGGGCGCAGGGACUUGGGAUCGACGCGGUGACGUCAUACGUCAGAAUCGACGCGGUGACGUCAUACGUCAGUUUCAAACGACACACUGAAACGAUGUGUGCAGAAAGCACUCGGGGCCUCGGCGUGCAUUAUGACAAAAAAACAUCAACAGUUCCCGUAGAACUGCAUUGUCCAUUGACCUCUUACAUCCCGUUGGCCUGGAGGACCCGGGGGUGGAAUGAGACACUCGAUAUUUUCCGGAACUCUCCUAGGGCCGGCUUUGAUUAUCGGCGUAAGGCACUACCACUUAGAGUACAAGCUACGGCUAACCCACAAUAAUCCUAUAGUAUUGCACCGCACAUCCCUACAAUUCUGCGGAUAGGCUUCGGACAAUUCCAAGGCGAGAUGAAUGGGGCAUGCCAACACAACAGCGUCACACGGCUGUUUCCGGCUGAAAUAAAGCCUCGGGCCUGUAAGGCAGCACGUGGCUCAGGGCGACGCGGAGAGGGAGGCAUUGGGACACAUCGCAGGACGGAACAGGGGAGUUGUAACGCGUGCCGACAUCUCAAGUCACACGCCGCUGUCGCACACCUCGCGGAGCCGGGUUAGCGUCAGGGGUUUGCAGCCACAGCGUAACUAUUCCGAGGCCUGUCAAAGACUCUCCUACACCAGCACCCCCGCCCCCCGGCCAUGCGCGCAGAAAUUGUGUGGCAAAGUGUUUGCACGUGAUGCACGUGAGACACACGUGAUGCACGUGAGGAACGCGUGCGUCACGUGAUGCACACGUGAUGCACGUGAGGCACGCGUGCGUCACGUGAUGCACACGUGAUGCACGUGAGGCACACAUGCAUCACGCGUGCGUCACGUGAUGCACACGUGACGCACACGUGCGGCGGAGGCGGCGGCUACACACGCAGAACGGCGGGCACGUGGAAACGAACGAAGCCAUCGGUCCACUGCUGGUCAAUGCCGCCAUACGAACGAAGCACUGCGGCUGUGCAUCUAACUGAACAUCUGUGGGGUGAUGAAAAAAAAGAGCUUCAUAGCUCAUCGGAUACCUCCAGAACGAAUACAAAAAAAGAUUCUGAUGGAGAUAAAACAAUAAAUAUAUAUUUUUAUUCUGAUCAACCCGGCCGCAUGAGUUAUAUUGCUGAUCACGAGGGUUACUCACGAGUGACUUCGGAACGGGUCAUGGGGUCUCGACCCACCAGCAUCAACCCGUAAGGUCAAAUAAAAUGAUUAUUGGAACAGUGCGCUACUUUGAAUUGCAGCUUUUAGCUGUGUCACAGGUGAUCAUUUCUAUCUUGUAGCUGCGACACUUCGGAACGCGAUAUAUAUAUAUAUAUCAUUAUUAACACGGUAUUUUCCAGAAGUACAUAAUACACCGCAGAAUCGAAGCUUGGGGAGGCCUUCAUCCCGCAGUGACUGCUGCUGCUGCUGAUUAACACACUGAGCAUCUUUGCAGGUUGGGUUCAAUCCCAGGUGGUGGUGGAGUGGGAUGGGGGAAAGGGGCGCGGUGGGGUGACCAGGGCUUUGCAGGCUAUGGGAGAG